UACGUAGGGGGCAAGCGUUGUCCGGAUUUACUGGGUGUAAAGGGUGCUCAGGCGGAAUUGUAAGUCAGAGGUGAAACUCCGAAGCUUAACUUCGGAACUGCCUUUGAUACUGCAAUCCUAGAGUGUGAGAGAGGCGAGUGGAAUAUCUGGUGUAGCAGUGAAAUGCGUAGAUAUCAGAUAGAACACCAAUGGCGAAGGCAGCUCGCUGGCUCAUUACUGACGCUAAAGCACGAAAGUGUGGGUAGCAAACAGGAUUAGAUACCCUGGUAGUCCACACCCUAAACGAUGAAUACUAGAUGUUGGUCCUUUUAAGGGUCAGUAUCACAGCUAACGCAUUAAGUAUUCCACCUGGGAAGUACGAUCGCAAGGUUGAA
rnacentral:rRNA from 1 species